CAGCCACCACGGUAAUAUGUAGGGUGCAAGCGUUAAUCGGAAUUACUGGGCGUAAAGCGUGCGCAGGCGGUUUGUUAAGACAGAUGUGAAAUCCCCGGGCUCAACCUGGGAACUGCAUUUGUGACUGGCAAGCUAGAGUGUGGCAGAGGGGGGUGGAAUUCCGCGUGUAGCAGUGAAAUGCGUAGAUAUGCGGAGGAACACCGAUGGCGAAGGCAGCCCCCUGGGCCAACACUGACGCUCAUGCACGAAAGCGUGGGGAGUAAACAGGAUUAGAUACCCGCGUAGUCCCUGUCUCUUAUAC
rnacentral:rRNA from 1 species